UCUAAACAUUUAAUAGUAAUCCUACAGGCUUGGGCUGUUAAAAGUACUGCUAAGUGCAAUUCUUUCCCUAGCUUAAGAAAGCUGCCUGGGUCUGUGAGUGUUUGUUUAGUAAAUAAUAUGUUUAACCAGAAUGUGUCAUUCCAAGUGCACACAUGUGCAAGAUGGCAAAUUUGGUUUUGUUCAAAGGAGAGCUUAACCUGCCAUGAAAAGGAGCAGCAUGCCAAGCCAAAGAAACUUCAGUGUCAGUACUGUGAUUUCCAAGGCAGCGCAUUGGCGGUAGGUGUUCAUUGUGUACGAAAACAUCCGGAGCACUCCCGUCAUGAACAGAGUUUCAAGCAUGGAAGGACCAGUAUGAGGCUGACACCGGAGCGGUGUACAACAUCGCUUCCAGCCGACCCCGGAACGGUACAACCGCCCGCCACUUGUGCUCCCGUGUACCUGUACCGUGUACCUCCCGGUCCGGCGUGUACGCACCGGCGGGGACCGGGAAGAGGCGGCUCAAGUCGCAGGGCAUGUGCAAGCUGGGCUGCCGCUGCACGUCGGAUGUCAUGGCGACUAUUCGAGAGGACGACACGGUGCUGGUGACGGUGCACCCAUUCCAUUAUGGCCACAGCAUGGGUAUUAGCAACAUCCCACGUCAGGAUCCCCAGCCUCCACAAAGCUGCCAUUAAGGAAAAGCUGCUGACUGGGGUGUCAAUGUCUCGCAUCAUGAAGGAUGUCCGUGAGGCGUUCUGGGCUGAAGCGGCAGCAGGCACCAGUUCCAGUCGUUCAUAUUGACUCCAGCGGCGCGACCUCCACAACAUGUGUCGGUCUGUCGGUAUCACAGCAGCGGAUGGCGGUGCGGUGAAGAACCGCAACGAAGUGAUCAGCGUGCAGAUGUUCGCAGAGGAGAUACGAUCAUCGGAUCAGCAGCACCUGGUGGCCUUCAAACCUCCAGGUGAAGCGGACAGCAACGGCGCGCUCCGAGAUGAAGACUUCGUGCUUGCUUCCUGCUCAUCAUCUCAGCUGGCGAAGUUCGUACAGCACGGUGCAAAGUUUGUGUGCAUGGAUGGCACGCACGGCACCAGCGGUAAUAAUUUAUUUGCCCUUCAUUCGCUAAUGGCGCAUCCGUUAUUCAUUCACUAAUGCUUCGUACUUCCUUAAUAAGCAUAAUGCUACGGUCUCCUGUAACUGGAGACGUUCUGGAUGGUGACAACUUCUCUCAAUGCAAUACACUUUAUCUGAUAGUUGAGACUACUUUCGUAACUGGCCAUAGGCUACCAGGGGCGCGAUAUGCAGAUAUGACGGAAUCAGGUAGCAACGAGGCUUCAGAAUGCAACAAAGCAAUGGUAUCGUCAUUCGUUGGAUGUGUGUAAUGAAAGCAGCGCUACACCUUGACUGCGCGAACCGCUUUUCGUUCACCUUUACGGUAAUUGUAAACGAUGAUGGAUACCAUGUGUCAGCAAUAGGCCAGAUCUCCGCGAGGCUGUUGGUUGAACGGAGAAUGCAAACAACAUCCGUCAGAACAUACACUUUGUCAGGGACAACCCGCAAAUGUACAGCGUACCAGUCCUUAGAUGUAAGGGAGCGGUGUGCUAUUGAGUCCUUUUUAUUUUAUGCCAUUUCUUCAAGUGUGCAUAGCUAUUUUGGUACACUGCAGCACGAUGUACGCACGCUGUGUGCAAUCUCCAAACAUGUGUCACUGGGCAAGUUAGUGUGCGUAUUUUUCCACUCUACAGGUCACGAUUUUCAUCUCAUAACGCUGCUGGUGGUGACGGAGACGGGAGCCGGCAUGCCAGUGGCCUGACUCAUCUCGAGCAGAGAGGACAAGCCUGCCAUAUCAUCCAUGCUGACUGGCCUGGUCCGCACCUGCGAGGAGCUGGAGCUGCCGUUUCCCACCGUCCGGUUUCUUAUGACAGACAAGGUUAUGGCCUUUUAUAACGCCUGGCUGGCGAGCACCCGCCAGCAUGACACUCAACACAUCCUCGGCGCCUGGCACGUCCUGAAAGCAUGGAAGGGCAAGCUGGCGAUGGUAACCGUAAGUUGUUCUGUUCGCCACGCGAAAUUUGGACUAUAAUGCUUCAGGCACGCUGUUUGUGCAGUGGACACGGCCGUGACUCCACGAAGUAUUCGUAAACCCCAGAGUUGGAUCGUGUGAUAGUCUGACAGUCCAUGGGGACCAGCACUGUCUUCAUAACUUUUGCUUGGUGUUCCCUCAGUCAGUAUGUUGCUGCGGUGCCAGGUCGCCGAUAUCGAGACCUGUUUUCGGCCGGUGUACCUCACCUUUUCCAUUUUUAUCGAAUGGGAAGGUGCAGCAACAGUGCACUGCAGCGUUCCACAAGUGUUUGUCCAAAUAGCUGUUAGUAGCUCAAGUGGCUUAUUCAUACAUUUUGCUGGAAACGACAUGACCGUGUGGCCGUAAAAUGUUACCAGAAGUGUAGCUGGCCGUGGCUAGCGGGACUUCCCGUUCAGCUGAGGUGUUGAGUCGCUUCAAAGCGCUGACAUCUCUGAAACGCCCGACCUCGUUCGGAGUAACCUGUAGUGCUAAAUGGCAAGCUCCCUUACCCGAUUAACUACAAAAAAGCCUGUGGAGAUCCGUCAUGUGGAGAAAAGAGAUCGUCAUGGGUUGAUUUGCAAUCGUACGUGCUUCACGGAAUGAAUAAGUGUGCUCAGUUCAGUCUGCGUGAAUUGCAUUUGCCCUAAGCACGUGGGUUCGAAUCCCACCUUUGGCAAUACUCUACUAGCCAGAGACCGGUGUGCUUUUGGACAAUCGCUAUGUACGCGGACAUAACUAGUGUUUUAUCCACGGGGUUAGACAUACAUUUAUAAUGAGCAUGUACACAUCAAUGAACUGGGUCAAUAUUUAUGAAUGGAUGAUUUCUGCAACGUGUGCUGCGCAGACGGAAAAUCGUACCGUACCGGUAACGGCCCUCCUCGGAUGAAGAAAGUGGCAUUUUUGGUGGGAAGAUGUUGACCAUGCUUACCAUAUUUAGGCUACGAGCGAUAACCUCUGCCCACUUCAUGUCCGUCUCGUUUCGUGCACAGAAACUAUUAACUUCCGCUCGCCAUACAGCAUUAAUUGUUAUGUGGCCAGAGUUCUUAUACAUGAUAUUGUCAAAACUUAAAUUCUAACAUUCUAAUUCUAAGAUGGUGAUUUUGUCAAAACUAGACGUUUCAAGCUGUGCUUACCAUGGUUUGUGACCCCAUGAUCGCUCGUGAUCGUCUCUGUUCACUGAUCUGAUCAAGCACCCGCAAGCACUGGUUUCAAGCUAUGUUUGUAAAAUAUAGUAAGACUAGCAAAGCAACAUGACCUGUAACCCCGCCCCUAUUCAUUUAAGAUGGAAAACUUUCCAUUGCCAAUUUGUAACAAAAUCUUGAGAGCAUAGGUUGAGAUCAGAUCCCGAUCUUCACCAACCGGCACCACAGCAUCAUAUCAAGGCGUAAAAGUAUGGGCACAUUAGUGCAUCAGACGACGCGCUCGCAAAGAACAUGGAAUCCGCCUGUUUUGUAGUUUUUUAAAAUUUGUAUGGCCUUCAGGCAACCGGGUCAGGUGGUAUCUUGAAAAUAGCCGCACGUCGCAGGCGAAGGGGCUUCUAAAAAUCGUUAACGAUUUAGAGACGUUAUAAAGCACAAGGUAUUGUGCUUUAUUGUGGAUCACCGGGAGCAGGGCCAGUACCUGACGGGAGGACAUCUGAGAUUAACGUCGGUAUGGUCUUCCCUGAAUGAAUUUAUUUAGAUUGUUUGACGUUACCGAGACCAGAGAAAAGGGCUUGCAAACAGUGCGGUGCAUAGGGACGCAGACAUGUAACACAGAGCGAGCCAUUGCCUGUCAGACACAUUUAGGGGAUACGGCCACUUCUAGGUUCAGUGCACUGAUGUAGCCUUCUAGAAGGGUUCCCAAAGGCGAUUGGCUGCUUUCGCUUUCACUUGCAGGCCUUCUAUAACCUGGUGCACUCAACUGUGGAAAGGCGUCUUGCCCCUUGAG